rnacentral:snoRNA from 1 species
AAAAAAGCAGUGGUUUGUUGCCUAUUGUGAACAGUCUUCUCGUUAAAUUCAGGGAUAUAAUAUCCAUUGUUUUUGGGUGAACCUUUAUUCCUAUUUUGUGAUCAAAGGUUCAGUAAAUAAUGGGACAUUU